GAAUAUUGGUCAAUGGGCGCAAGCCUGAACCAGCCAUCCCGCGUGCAGGAAGACGGCCCUAUGGGUUGUAAACUGCUUUUAUACACCAAGAAACCCCUCCUCGUGAGGAGGGCUGACGGUAGUGUAUGAAUAAGCACCGGCUAACCCCGUGCCAGCAGCCGCGGUAAUACGGAGGGUGCAAGCGUUAUCCGGAUUUAUUGGGUUUAAAGGGUGCGUAGGCGGGCCUGUAAGUCAGUGGUGAAAUCCUUCAGCUUAACUGGAGAACUGCCAUUGAUACUGCUGGUCUUGAAUUCGGUUGAAGUGGGCGGAAUGUGUGGUGUAGCGGUGAAAUGCAUAGAUAUCACACAGAACACCGAUUGCGAAGGCAGCUCACUAAGUCGACAUUGACGCUGAGGCACGAAAGCGUGGGGAGCGAACAGG
rnacentral:rRNA from 1 species